AGGAUGAACGCUGGCGGCGUGCCUAAUACAUGCAAGUCGAGCGGUAAGGUCCCUUCGGGGAUACACGAGCGGCGGACGGCUGAGUAACACGUAGGAACGUACCCCAAACUGAGGGAUAAGCACCAGAAAUGGUGUCUAAUACCGCAUGUGGUCUUCGGAUUAAAGCUUCGGCGGUUUGGGAACGGCCUGCGCAUGAUUAGCUUGUUGGUGAGGUAAUAGCUCACCAAGGCGACGAUCAUUAGCUGGUCUGAGAGGAUGAUCAGCCAGACUGGAACUGAGAACGGUCCAGACUCCUACGGGAGGCAGCAGUAGGGAAUUUUCCACAAUGGGCGAAAGCCUGAUGGAGCAACGCCGCGUGCAGGAUGAAUGCCUUCGGGUUGUAAACUGUCUUUUAUAUGUGACGAUUAUGACGGUAGCAUAUGAAUAAGGAUCGGCUAACUCCGCGCCAGCAGCCGC
rnacentral:rRNA from 1 species